rnacentral:rRNA from 1 species
AUUGAACGCUGGCGGCAGGCCUAACACAUGCAAGUCGAGCGGAUGAAGGGAGCUUGCUCCUGGAUUCAGCGGCGGACGGGUGAGUAAUGCCUAGGUAUCUGCCUGGUAGUGGGGGAUAACGUCCGGAAACGGGCGCUAAUACCGCAUACGUCCUGAGGGAGAAAGUGGGGGAUCUUCGGACCUCACGCUAUCAGAUGAGCCUAGGUCGGAUUAGCUAGUUGGUGGGGUAAAGGCCUACCAAGGCGACGAUCCGUAACUGGUCUGAGAGGAUGAUCAGUCACACUGGAACUGAGACACGGUCCAGACUCCUACGGGAGGCAGCAGUGGGGAAUAUUGGACAAAGGGCGAAAGCCUGAUCCAGCCAUGCCGCGUGUGUGAAGAAGGUCUUCGGAUUGUAAAGCACUUUAAGUUGGGAGGAAGGGCAGUAAGUUAAUACCUUGCUGUUUUGACGUUACCAACAGAAUAAGCACCGGCUAACUUCGUG